UAUUAAAAUUAGGCGUCUCUA
rnacentral:piRNA from 1 species